rnacentral:rRNA from 1 species
UGGGGAAAUUUGGGCAAUGGUGGCAACCCUGAUCCAGCCAUGCCGCGUGAGUGAAGAAGGCCUUCGGGUUGUAAAGCUCUUUCGGCCGGGAAGAAAUCGCACGGGCUAAUACCCUGUGUGGAUGACGGUACCGGAAUAAUAAGCACCGGCUAACUACGUGCCAGCAGCCGCGGUAAUACGUAGGGUGCGAGCGUGAAUCGGAAUUACUGGGCGUAAAGCGUGCGCAGGCGGGUUUGUAAGACAGGCGUGAGAUCACCGGGCUCAACCUGGGAACUGCGCUUGUGACUGCAAGGCUAGAGUACGGCAGAGAGGGGUGGAAUUCCACGUGUAGCAGUGAAAUGAGUAGAGAUGUGGAGGAACACAAAUGGCGAAGGCAGCCCCCUGGGUCGAUACUGACGCUCAUGCACGAAAGCGUGGGUAGCAAAGAGG